rnacentral:lncRNA from 1 species
UGAAUUGGUGUCCUCAACUCGAUGUGUUGGCUCAUCGAGCUGUUGGAUGUUUCUUUACUCAUUGUGGAUGGAAUUCAACCCUGGAAGCGUUGAGCUUGGGAGUGCCAAUGGUUGCCAUGCCCCAUUGGUCCGAUCAACCUCCUAACGCGAAAUUUAUUAGUGAUGUAUGGCAAACAGGAAUUCGCGUUAAGGCUGGAGAAAAUGGUAUUGUUUAUAGAGAUGAAAUCGCGCGUUCCAUAAGGGAAGUCAUGGAGGAAGACAAAGGUGUAAUGCUCAAAGAGAAUACAAUUAAAUGGAAAAAAUUGGCUAAGGAAGCAGUAGAUGAAGGAGGAAGUUCUGAUAAGAACAUUGAAGAAUUUCUUUCAAACAUAAUGUAGUGUCUCUUCUUCCAUUUUGAUUUAUAUUUUAUAGUACGAUGAUUACAAAUAAUAAUUUUAUAUGUUAUGUUAUAUUAUAAGUUUGUUAUAACAACAUUUCGUUGUAACAUUCAAACAAUAUCCAUAACAUACUCAGUGUGAUCUCAUAAGUGGAGUCUAAGGACAAAGGGGUGUAGCCGACCGUAUCCCUACCCUUGUGGGUGUAGAAAGUUUGUUUCUGGAAGACCCUUGGCUUUUGAAUUUUUUUUUAACACAUAUUUGAAAAAUAAAUAAGCUAGUAAUGAAAAUUAAAUACUGUUAUAGAGAAACUUGACCGCACUUGAUUAGGGUAGACUUGAUCAAAAUUUCCUCUUAAGACUAGGGGUUGCUUUCCCCUCAUUCUUAUCAAGUAACUUUAGUAGGUCUUCUUUUCUUGAUAUUACAAAGCAGUUAAGAGUAAAUUACUGCAGAAAUGGAAGAAGUAAGUCAUGCACCAAUUGUGCCAAUGGUUGCCAUGCCCCAAUGGUACGAUAGACCAAUUAAUGUGAAAUUUAUUUGUGAUGUCUAUGGCAAACAGGAGGUCGCGUUAAAGCUGGAGAAAAUGGUGUUAUUUCAAGAGAAGUAGCAAGUUCCAUAAGAAAAGUCAUGUAGUAAGAGAAUGCAUUUGAAUGGAAACAAUUGGCUAAGGAAGUAGUAGAUGGAGGAGGGAGUUCUGAUAAGAGUAUUGAAGAAUUUCUCAAACUUGCAACGCACUAUAUUGAGUCAUCCACAACAACUUACCCAGUGUAAUUCCACAAGUGGAAUUUGGAAAGGAUAGUGUGUACUUAACCUUAUUCCUUUGUUAAUAUCAAUAGUGAUGGUAGUUGUGUCCGUAACAAUAUUGGUGGUGGAGGGUGUAAUGGCCUAGCCCACUAGUGAUAUUGUCCUCUCUAGACCUAGUCCUGCACGGCUUUAAAACGCAUCACUAGAGUGAAAGGCCUGUUUACUAAUACACCCAGCAUCUCUCUUGUGUUUUGCCGAUCCUAAGUUGGGGCAUUACAGUGGGGUGAUCCGGGACUUCUCUGGCAAAACACUGAUGGUUUUCUCUAUCCCCCUGGGCCAAGGGAGCAGCAAUUGGGCAGAAGCAUAUCUGCGUUUCUUUUCCGACUAGAAUCCUUCAUUAUCAGAGAAACUGAUUCACUUUUAUUGCUCAAGUGUAUUCAGGGAAAAUGGGAAACCUCCUGUAGGUUUGAAGAAAAAGUGAUAAAAAUCAGAAAAUUAGUGUAUAGUAUAGGAGUCAUCAUUCAACACUGCUAUAGAGAAGCCAAUCAAGUCGCGAACAAGAUGGCAUCCUUAAGUCAUCACGUCCAAGAACCGCAUAUCUACACUUGUUUUGAUACCAUGCCUAAGCAAGUCAAAAGCCUUCUUAAUGUUGAUCGAUGGCAAGUAGCAACUUCCUUCUUUCCAAGUCAGGAGGAAAAGACCAAGUAGCCACCGUGAUCCUUACCCUACCUUGAGAAGGUAGAGAGGUUGUUUCUAUGCUCUAGAUUUAGAGUAUAAGAUACAUUUGACAAAAUUGAUCACUUUAUGCAUCAUUUGCUUACAUUGCAUCGAACAUUUUUAUGAAUGUCUCAUCUCACCUUGAAUGGAAGACAGUCGAUGAUGCUUACUGAAUACUUUUACAAUGUACUUAGCCCUUUGUGCGCUUCGUCCACUUCGCAUAUUAUGUGUGUGAUUCAAUCAAUGCAAGCAGGUGUCUUCUGGUUGUCUAAACUAUAACUAAAACUUUAGCUCAAGUCAUGUGUAGUUCCAACCAGGCUCCCAUUCACAAUCAGCUAGUCUUUUGUUGGAUUGUUUAGCCCGACCACGCCCAAGUUGAUAUUUGUGAUCCUCCAGAAGUCGGUGGAUAUUUGUGAUCAACCUAAAUGUCAAUGCAUCCAACCAACUUUUUAUUGUAGUGAUGCUUUUACAUAUUUUAUACCUAUUUUUUUAUAUUUUUUAUGUAAUUAUAUCUAUUCCGCGUCGAGUUUAGUAGGUGCCGGAGCACCCCAAAAUCCUACAUAGAUCCGCCCCUGCCAAGAGUCCAGGUCCAACUGUUGGGUAGAGUUCAUAACGGAUUGUCAUAUUCACUAUUACUCUAUAGAGUUGAUGAAAACUACAUUUGAACUUUUACUUUUCUACGAGUUUCAUAUCUCAGCUUUACAUUGCCCUAUUAUUUCCCUGCCAAAAACACACCUUGAUGCUAGUUGGCCUAUACGUGUCUUUAAUUGAUCGGGAACAAAUAUUGACCAACUCAACAGGUGAGCUUUUUCACAAAGGGAGUGGUAGCUUAGGUUAGUAAGGAGAAUUAUGGAUAGUUGAGAUAAGAAACUCACAAAAAAAUAUUAGUUUAGAUGAAUCCCCUUCGAUGAAAAAAUAUAUUAUUUAUACGUGAUUAAAAUUAUAUUUUAUGAACCUAUAAUUGGUGUUAAACGAAAAAAAGGCCAAAAUUGCUCUCAAACUAUCCAAUUUGGACCACAUAUACCCUCCGUUUUGUCGUGGUAGCAAAAUUACCCUUGCCGUCAGCACAAGGGGCUACAAAUUUCCUACUUAACAACCCUUUUUUCUGAUGACACAUGGCACCCAGCGUGACAACCCAACUAGGAUAUGCCACUUCACCUGGGCAAAAUAAAUCCACUAGCAUCCUUCUUAUGAUAAAAGGAAGUUGCUCGGAUGAUAAGCAUCACUCACUUUAACAUGAUAAAUUUAAAUCACCAAGGAAGCAAAAAAAAAAAAAAAGUGAAAACUCCUAAAACAAGGCCACAUCCUCUUUUAAACUUUCUUUUACUGUCCUUAAACUAUCCAAAUCGAAUAGUUCGAGAAUCAUUUUGAUCCUUUUCUCUUAAUUCUAUUAUACAAAUCUAACUCACCAACCACAGCAUCAUUCCAAAAUACUCACUAAUAAGGAUGAAACGCAAAACACAAAAAUAGAGUCUUCUUUGUACACGUCUUUCCUCUUACAAUCACAUGAACAGUGACUACUUUAUAUCUUAGGUCCACAAAUACUGUCAACUGCAAAAAAAAAAGGACAAUAUUCAUAUCAUAUCACUACUUUUUGGUUUCUUUUUGGUCCACUCAUUUAUAGUCCAAGAAAUUCGUUUCAGUUCCACUACUGUGCUAUUUUAACCAAUUUUGGACUACUCCCUCCGUUUAUCCUUAUUAGUUACUCGACACAUGUGUUCUGUGUGUAUUUUGAAUCAUAUAGUAUACAAUUUUGUAAAAUAUAUCGAUUUAUAGCUCUAGUAUGCAGUAUUGACAAACUCUUAUUUUAGUACUUAUGAUGUCUACCUGUGCAUAUUCUAACCUUUAAUUACUUGAACCGUGCACUUUUGAUCCUUUGCUUACUAAUAUUGUUAACAAAUUAAUUUCUACCAACUACAAGGGAUCAAAAGUGCUAUAAUUGAGUAAAGAAUUAUACAUGAAGGAAUAAAGUAUAAUAUAUUAAAAAUAAUUAUUCAAUUUUACUUAUUCAGAUUGAAAAAUUAAAGAGUAUUUUAUUAUUUUGUGUCUAUUUUAUCCUUGUUAUUAAAUAUUACUAUUCAUUUUUUAAUAUUUAAAUGACGUAUAAUGGCGAUAAAUAGUUGAAGAUUUUACCGUCUAACUUUUUAUUGUGAUCAUUUAAACACUCAAACUUGACACGUGUGUCUCGCGCGCACCUGAACUAUGAAAAUGCACAUCUAGACACCUUUAAAAGGAUGCAUUCUAGAGGCGUAUCAUCAAAGUUGGAAGUAGGGGUGUACAUAGGUCGGGUUGGUUCGGUUUUUUAUUAAAAUAUAACCAAACCAAUAAUGUCGGUUUUCUAAAUCUAUAAACCAAAUCAAACCAAUAUGCAAUCGGUUUCUUUAUUUCGAUUUUAGUCGGGUUUUUUUGAUUUUUUGAUUUUCUCGAUUUUUUUAUAAUUAUAAUGUGAUUGAAUAAAAAAAUUAAAUGUUUUCACUAAAAAGAUUAAAAAAAAAAAACAAUGGUCAUAGAGUAGUUCCAAUAAAAAUUAAGUUGGCAAAUUACUAAGACGUCUAAACUACUAUCUCUCAAAAUAAUAUUAUGUGGAUACCUAAGUAGUUCAAUUUCUAAGUCACUAGUCACAGUAGCUUGUCUAAAAGUUUCCUUCACAUAAAAUGUGAGCACACAAAAGAAUGAAGAAUUAGACAACUUAUUAAAAACUUAACUUCAUAAAGUAAUUAAUUAUAACANNNNNNNNNNNNNNNNNNNNNNNNNNNNNNNNNNNNNNNNNNNNNNNNNNNNNNNNNNNNNNNNNNNNNNNNNNNNNNNNNNNNNNNNNNNNNNNNNNNNNNNNNNNNNNNNNNNNNNNNNNNNNNNNNNNNNNNNNNNNNNNNNNNNNNNNNNNNNNNNNNNNNNNNNNNNNNNNNNNNNNNNNNNNNNNNNNNNNNNNNNNNNNNNNNNNNNNNNNNNNNNNNNNNNNNNNNNNNNNNNNNNNNNNNNNNNNNNNNNNNNNNNNNNNNNNNNNNNNNNNNNNNNNNNNNNNNNNNNNNNNNNNNNNNNNNNNNNNNNNNNNNNNNNNNNNNNNNNNNNNNNNNNNNNNNNNNNNNNNNNNNNNNNNNNNNNNNNNNNNNNNNNNNNNNNNNNNNNNNNNNNNNNNNNNNNNNNNNNNNNNNNNNNNNNNNNNNNNNNNNNNNNNNNNNNNNNNNNNNNNNNNNNNNNNNNNNNNNNNNNNNNNNNNNNNNNNNNNNNNNNNNNNNNNNNNNNNNNNNNNNNNNNNNNNNNNNNNNNNNNNNNNNNNNNNNNNNNNNNNNNNNNNNNNNNNNNNNNNNNNNNNNNNNNNNNNNNNNNNNNNNNNNNNNNNNNNNNNNNNNNNNNNNNNNNNNNNNNNNNNNNNNNNNNNNNNNNNNNNNNNNNNNNNNNNNNNNNNNNNNNNNNNNNNNNNNNNNNNNNNNNNNNNNNNNNNNNNNNNNNNNNNNNNNNNNNNNNNNNNNNNNNNNNNNNNNUCUAAAGCAGACACUUUUAACGAAGGACAAAAAGUUCAAAUAUUUCUGAAUACCGAAUCAAAUAAAAACAAAGUUGAAAGAAAACAAACCAAACUGAAAUAGUUCGAUUCGGUGUUCGAUGUCUACUUUUUAAAAUUGUAAAUUAAAGAAUUGAAUUGAAAUUUGAUAAAAUCGAAACAAAGAGCAGAAUGUGUACUUCUAAUCAACGCCUUAACAACAUAAAUAGUGCUAAUAUGAAUGAGAAAUAAUUCUUUUAAAAAAAAAUACACCUUUAAAUCCUCUCGUAAUCGAAGUCUCAACCAUACACUCACAUAAUUUUUCUUUACCUGCACAUCAUGCGAAAGCCAACAAUUGAAAUUACAAUAAAUUAUACGAUAAAAAAACGUUAAUAAAAGUGCAUAAUAUUUAAUAUUAUUGACCUACAAAUUAAAAACUAAUAUUAAAGAACAUAAANNNNNNNNNNNNNNNNNNNNNNNNNNNNNNNNNNNNNNNNNNNNNNNNNNNNNNNNNNNNNNNNNNNNNNNNNNNNNNNNNNNNNNNNNNNNUGUACGAUUUUUUUUCCUUUUAAGAAAGAGUUGAUGAAACAUGGAAGAAAUCUAAUCUAAUUUGAGAAACUUUUUUCAUAAAAAAACUAAUUAGUAUAGAAAAUCAAGACAAACGAAACUUAAAAAAAAAAAAGUUAAAGACUCCUAGUUAAAUCAAAAAUCAUACUUAAAAGAAAGAAAUUAGGUCGUAUGCUAACUACAAUCUGACACUACUUAUUUUUUUUUUCUUUUUGAGGUGGGAUGCGUUUUUUUAAUAAAAAUAGUUAAAUAAGAAUUUGAUAAAAUAAUAAAAAGACAUUUCUUAUUAUGUAUUUAAAACUUUUUAAAAUUUAAUACUUAUUAAAAUUUUCUUAUUCUAAGGCUUUUAUAUUUGUUUCUAGAUUUUUCAAAUCCAAUUAAAAUCAAAUUUAGUUGUUUUAUAAUUCUUAAACUAAUGGAAAAGUAUUAGUCGUCAUUAAUUCUGAUAACUUCUAAUAAGAAAAGGUUUUACCAUAAAUAUAUAUUAAUUAAUUAUUAACUUUUAAAAAUUAGAAAAAAAUAGUGAUAUAGAUUAUAGAUUAUAGAUAUAAAUAUAGAUAUAGAUAUGGGCUUUGUAAAUACUAUAAUUAAAGGUCCAAGAAUAUAUAUCUAUUUUUUGAAUAUAAAAAAAUAAUAAAAGUAAUUAGAAAGUAGAUUAUAAGCAAUAUUUUUUUACGUAUAAAAAAUUAAAAUUAUAUAUGUAUUACGUCGGUUCGGUUUGGGUUCGGUUUGAUUUUAUUUUUUCUAAUACCAAACCAAACCAAGAAUGAUCGAAUUUUUUUUUUACCAACACCAAACAAAUCAAACCUAACCAUAAAUCGAUUUUUUUCCUCAGUUUGGUUUGAUUUAUCAGUUCGGUUUGACUUAACGGUUCGAUUUGUAGACCCCUAGUUGGAAGUGUUUAUGGUCAACUUAAAUCAAGUUAAGAUGUUUAAAUGCGCAUUUCUAAAGUUGCAGAAUUAAUUUGUCUGUUGAGGUCAAGUUAAAAUUUCUAUCUAUGUAAUAUGUCAAAACUCAAACAGCCUAAAAAACAUUGUAUUCAAAGGUAUUGUGAGAUGAGUAAAUUCUCUUCAAUCUUAAUCAAUGGUAUCGACUUCAGGCCAUGAAAAUAAAGAAGUUUUUUAGCAUGAAAUGCUUCAACUUUAAUUAAUUUACGUAAGACAAAUUUGAAUUAGUCUGAUUAGUGAAUUUGAGAUAAUAAUUAAAAAACAUUCACAAGACAAGAUCCUACCUUUUCGUUCCUGUAUCUAGUGGUGGGGUAGGCUUUUGCAUAUGUGUUCGGCAAAAUCUAGUAAUUUUGGUAAAAAUAUACCAUAUGCAUGCUAACAAAUUCACCAAAUAUAUACAAAACACAAAGGGCCAUUUGGACUAAUGCUCCUAUAAUUUUUUGUUCUUUAGACCCCAAAUACUCUUGACUUUGAAAUUUAAAAAAAAAAUAAAAAAUUGCAAGGCCAAAGUAAAUUCGCAAUGCAAAAGUUCAUAUUUUCGUAUCACAAUAUAAAGCAAGUUAUUUCUUAUUAGCAGCUUAAUUUCUAUAAAACUUAUGUCGUUGUAUAACUUAAUUCUUACAAAACUUAUGUUGAUAGAGGCAUGAGUUCAGUUUCAGAAUGUUAUACUUUAAGAAGUUCAUAACCCACAAGUUAUGACUUACACGACAUAUAACUUAGUUCUUACAGAACUUAUGUCGAUAGAGGCAUAAGUUUAGUAUUAGAACUUGCAAAGUUAUGCCUUGAGAGACUACAGAACUUUUGCAAAUUAGAUACUAUAUAAUUUAUGUCGGACAGAAAAUUAGGUCGUUAAGGAUAUUUUGGCCUACAAAUUUUCAUUAAAUCAGCAACAUGAACAAAAAUUAAAGUACACCAAUUUGAAGGGCAAAACCUAAGGCUUAUAUGAGCAAUCUGUAAAAAAACUUGAAAUACAAAUCCACGUACUCAGUUUGCUUCUUGUAAGAUUAAGACAUCUAACCAAAUCUAGUCGCACAGUUAAAUAUUAAGAUGUGUAUUAAGAUAAGAUACAGAUCUGAAACAAGUGAAUAUUAAGACGACAUAUUAAUAUUUGAAUACUAAAUUUUAAGAUUUUUUUUAAUUUUCUCAACAUUCAAAUGUAUAAUUUGUCUUUAUUUAAAAAUCAUAGAAUAUAAAAUUCAAAUGAAAUGUUGAUUAAUCUAAUACAAAAACAAUAAUAACAACAUAUCUAGUAUAAUUUCUGUUAUGAUUCGAACAGAAUAAGCAAACCACAAGUAAAAGAAAACAAAAACAACAUACAGAUUUACAUGGGAACCCUCACGGGAAAAACCACGGGCAGAGGCAGCGGAGGUUUCACUAUAAUGGAAAGAGAGUACAAUGUGAAGAAGGUUGAAUUUUCUGAAUGGUGAAAUAACCCACUAAAUCGCACUUAUAUAUUACGUGCGUACAAACAGGUCCUAGGCCCAAAAACAUAAAGGUCCAUCAACCAAAAUUCGGGUCACUAUUCUAACAAUCUCCACCUUGACACGAAUUAUAAUUCAGAACUCAAAUCCAUUUCAAGACAAACUCUCCACCUCUUGCACAAAAGCCCCUAAGGGCGCAUCUUAACAGCUAACACUAACCAAGUCCAAGCAAUGCUCAAACUUGGCACUUGGUAGUGUCUUGGUCAUCAUAUCAGCGGGAUUAUCAUGAGUACUAAUUUUGCUCACCACAAUAUCACCAUGAGCAAUAAUUUCACACACAAAAUGAUACCGAACAUCAAUGUGCUUGUCCUCUCGUGAAACAUCUGAUCUUUCGUAAGGAAGAUAGCACUCUGACUGUCGCAAAAGACUGUAGUAAUCUGUAAGUCUUUGCUAAGUUUGCCAAACAGACCCUUCAAGAAAAUAGCUUCUUUGAAAGCCUCUGUAAUAGCCAUGUACUCUGCCUCAGUAGUUGACAAAGCAACCGUAGUCUAUAAGGUAGCUUUCCAACUAAUAGCACAACCACCAAUGGUGAAAACAUAGCCUGUGAGGGACCUUCUUUUAUCAUGAUCUCUUGCAAAAUCAGAAUCAACAUACCCAAUUAUCCCAUCUCUAUUUCGCCCAAACUGCAAACAAACAUCAGCAGAUCCAUGCAAGUAUCUAAAAAUCUACGAAACUAUUUUCCAAUGUUCUUUGCCAGAAUUUGCCAUGUAUCAGCUAACUGCACUGACGGCAUAAGAUAAAUCUGGUCGGGAACACACCAUCGCAUACAUAAGAGACCCAACAGCACUAGAGUAUGGAACUCGAGAUAUAUAGCCACGCUUAUCAUCUAUUUUUGGAGAUAAAGUGGCCGAGAGUUUGAAGUGAGUUGUCAAUAGAGUACUUACAGGUUUGGCAUUUUUCAUAUUAAACCUGUGUAGCACUUUCUCAAUAUACUUUUCUGACUCAAGUAUAAUUUACGCUUCUCUUUAUCCCUCAUAAUUUUCAUGCCAAGAAUCUUCUUUGCUUCUCCUAGAUCCUUCAUCUCAAACUCCUUGCUGAGCUGGGUUUUGACUUUUAUUAUCUCUCUCAUAUCCUUUGCUGCAAUCAAUAUAUCAUCAAUAUACAAAAGAAGGUGUACGAACGAACCAUCACUUAACUCCUUGACGUAGACACAACUAUCAUAACUACUCCUCUAAAACAUAUGAGAGGUCAUAAAAGAGUCAAACCUCUUAUACCACUGCCUGGGCGACUACUUUAAUCCAUAAAGAGACUUUUUCAGCAAGCAUACAUAGUCCUCCUUUCCUAAGACUACAAAGCCUUCUGGUUGCUGAAUAUAGACGCCCUCUUCAAGUUCUCCAUGUAAGAAUGCAGUUUUGACAUCCAACUGCUCAAGCUCAAGAUUAUGCAUGGGCACAAUACCAAGCAAUGCUCGAAUCGAACUAUACUUUACAACUGGAGAAAACACAUCUGUGAAUUCAAUACCUGGAACCUGACUGUAGCCUUUAGCAACUAGUCUUGCUUUGUAUCUAGCAUCUUCAACUCCUGAUGUUCCUUCUUUCUUUUUAAAUACCCACUUGCAACGGACAACUUUCUUAUCUUUAGGCAAUCUCACCAAAUCCCAUGUGCCAUUCUUGUGAAGUGAUUUCAUCUUCUCCUACAUAGCAAUCAUCCAUCGGCUAAAAUCAUCACAACUAACUGCCUCUGAGUAAGAAAAAGGUUCUUCACCGGAAUCAAUACCUUCUGCUACAUUCAAUGCAUAAGCAACCAAAUCAACUUCAGCACACUUCUGAGGAGGUUUAAUGUCUCUUCUAGGCCUGUCUUUAGCAAUAGAAUAUUGUGGCAUCACUGGUGGUGAAGAAGAAAUAGUACCACUCUUUAUCUCUGGGCUAGACUGAGAAGUAGGCGCUGAUGUAGACUCUGCUCUAAUUUGUAAUUCAACGUAGGUGCUUGACUGUUGCUGAUUCAUGUCACUAGAUUCAGAGGGAACUCAAAGUAUGGCAGUUUCAUAAAACACAACAUCCCUACUAACUAUAACCUUUCUGGUUUCUGGACACCAAAGCUUAUAACCUUUAACACCAGGCUUAAAACCCAUAAAUAAACACUUAACAGAUCUAGGUUCCAAGUUUUCAUUAUCAACAUGAGCAUACACAGGACAUCCAAAUAUCCUCAAAUCAAAAUAACUAGUAGGAGUACCAGACCAUACCUCUUGAGGAGUUUUUUUAUCAAUCGCGACUGAGGGAGAGCGGUUAAUAAGAAGAUAAGUCAUGGAAGCAGUUUCAGCCCAAAAAGACUUGGGUAAACUAGCAUUAGAGAGCAUAUAAUGCACCUUCUCCAUUAUAGUCCUAUUCAUUCGUUCGGCCACACCAUUCUGCUGCGGAGUAUGACGAAUUGUCAAGUGCCUCACAAUUUCUUCUGACUUGCACAAAGCAUUAAAUUCAUUAGAACAGAGCUCUAAAUCAUUAUCGGUCCGAAGGCAUUUUUCCUGCUUCCUUGUCUGCUUUUCAAUCAUAGUCAUCCAAACUGUUUUGGAAUAGUCAUCAAUAAUAGUCAACAAGUAAUUAGCGCCUCCUCUAGAAGGCACUCUAGCAGGACUCCAGAGAUCAGAAUGAAUGUAAUCAAGUGUGCCCUUAAUUAAGUGGAUGCAUUCAGUGAAUUUGACUCUCUUCUGUUUCCCGAAUACGCAGUGCUCACAGAACUCUAAUUUGUUUAUACUUUGCCCAUCAAGAAGUCCUUUCUUUCUUAGUUCAGCCAUUUCGUUUUCACUCAUAUGCCCCAGGCACAUAUGCCAAAGUUUAGCAACGUCACUUUCUGAUAAAGAGGAGGUAAAAACAAUUGCAUCAUCUGUAAUAGUAGAGCCUUGUGGGACAUACAAAUUUGCAGACUUUCUCUGUCCCGUCAUCACAACAAGAGCACCUUUAGUAACCUUCAGGACUCCACCUUCACCAGUGUACCUAUAACCAUUCGAAUCAAGGGUACUCAAGGAAAUAAGAUUUCUCUUCAAGUCUGGGACAUACCGCACAUCACCAAGUGUCCUCACAACCCCAUCAAACAUCUCGAUCCUGAUUGUUCCAAUACCAGCUAUCUUACAAGGUGUGUUAUUUUCCAUCAACACAACAUCUUUAAAGACUGUUUUAUAUAUUGUAAACCAAUCCCGAUUACGACACAUAUGAAACGUGCAAGCUGAAUCAAGAAUCCACUCCUCACAGGAUUUGGAGUUACCAUCAGAAACUACCAAAAGUUUGCCAUCACUAUCGCCAUCUUCCAUAAAACUGGCUUCACCGGACUUCUCUAGUUGGUUUUUCUUUGGUUUUAGAGCUUCUCUUUUCUCUCUAUUCUGUAGUUUUCAACACUCAAAUUUGAUAUGACCCUUCUUCUUUCAGUAAUUACAGGUUUUGUUUCUAUUUUUGGAUUUUGAUCUAUUCCUGCCAUCAUCCCUAGAAUUCCUCUCACGAGUUCUUCCUCCUCAAAUAAUGAGAUCAUCUCCUUGAGUCUCCGAUCCAUUCAUAAGAUGCUUCAUCUUCUCCUUAGAGAACAACGCAUCAUAGACUUUAUCUACGGUCAGGGUAUCACGACUAUAUAAAAUCGUAUCCCUAAAGGUCGUGUAUGAUGCAGGCAGCGAACACAACAAAGUCAACCCUAAAUCUUCCUCAUCGUACUUAACCUCCAGAGUCUCUAAAUCAGAGACGAUUUCUUUAAAGACAGAUAGGUGAUCUUCCAAAGACGCACCCUCAGACAUACGAUGGGAAUAAAAUCGUUGUUUGAGAUGCAACUUACUUGUUAGGCUCUUCGUCAUGCAUUAAGAUUCCACUUUCAACCACAAUGCAAUGGUAGUGAUCUCCUUCAAAACAUUAUGUAGAAUCUGAUUGGAUAAAUAAAGGUGGAUCUGAGAUAGAGCCUUCCGGUCGUUACGCCGUUUGUCCUCGUCUGUCCAUGAUGAGGGCAUCUUAUCAAAUCCUAAUAAAGCAUCAUCCAAAUCCAUCUGCUCGAGCACAACCCGCAUCUUAACCUGUCAUAACAAAAAUCUGGUGUUGCGAUCCAACAGCGAAAUAUCAUACUUCAUGGUUGUCAUCCCCGAGAAAAUAAUCAACCAAGCUUUGAUACCAGUUUGUUAUGAUUCAGAUAGAAUAAGCAAACCACAAGUAAAAGAAAACAAGAACAACACACAGAUUUACAUAGAAACCCUUGCGGGAAAAACCACGGGCAGAGGCAGAGAAGGUUUUACUAUAAUGGAAAGAGAGUACAAUGUGAAGAAGGCUGAAUUUUCUAAAUGAUGAAGUAACCCACUAAAUCGCACUUACAUAUUACGUGCGUACAAAUAGGUCCUAGGCCCAAAAACAUAAAGGUCCAUCAACCAAAAUUCGGGUCACGAUUCUAACAAUUUCAUUAGUGAGGUUUGGAGAGACUGGUGUGUACGCGGACUUUACCCCUAUUUUGUGAAGUUAGAAAGGUUGUAUAUCCCAUAGACCCUCAAUUCAAGAAAAAUAUUUCAAACUAGGUAGAAAAAGGAUAAUAAUAGUACAGAAGACAUGAUGAAAAUAAUGGAGAAAAGAACAAUAACAACUAUAAAUCAUACGAUAAUCAAAGCAAAGAAAACAGCAUGAGAAUAUAAAACUACAGAGUAAGAUAAUUAGGAGAGUAAUAAUAAUAAUGCUAAUAAGGAACACUAUACAAUGUUGUACUACUUUUUAAUCUUCUACCCUAAUCCUCAACCUUCAUAUCCUUCUAUUUAAGUCAUAUCCUCAAUAAGAUAUAGGCGUGUCAUAUCUUGUCUAAUCACCUCUCCUCAAUACUUCAUCAGCCUACCUCUACCUAUCCUCCAUCCAGGUCAAUCUCUCACACCUCCUCACUGAGUCAUCUGCACAUAUAUAUCCUCUUUACAUACUCGAACCAUCUCAACCUUUGUUUCCCUCAUUUUGUCCACCACAAAGGUCAUUCCCACCUUGUCCGAAUAUCUUCGCUCUUAAUAUUAUGUCUCCCAAUAUGCUUACUUAGUCAUCUCAAUAUCCUUAUUUCCGUUACACUAAUCGUUUUGACGUGUGAGUUUUUGGUCAGCCAACACUCUGUUUCUAAACGAUAGUUGGUCUGAUGAUCUUUUUGUAAAACUUACUUUUUAAGUCUUGGUAACACACUUAUCACAUAAGAUACUGGAUGUUCAUCCAUCCCUCUCAAUAUAAUACAAUAUGUAAGAUCAUGUCGAUCCGCCCAUUCCUUUGUAUUGUUGAACCAAAAUACUUAAAACUUCCUCUGUUGGAUAUGACUUGUGUAUCGAUCUUCACUUCCACAUUUUCCUUGUCAGUCACGUCACUAUACUUGUACUCCAAAUACUCUAAAUCUUAUUCAACCUGAACCCUUUAGACUCUAAGGUCUAUCUCCAAAUCUCCAGAUUAUCAUCAACUCUGCCACGUGUCUCAUCAAUGAAUAUUAUAUCAUCAUCAAUUAUCAUACAUCAUAGAACCUACCCUUAAAUAUGCUACAUCAGUUCAUCCAUCACCAAGGUAAAUAAAAAUGGACUAAAAGUUGAUGCCUGGUGCAACCUCAUCACAACUGGAAAGUGCUCCGAGUCUCUUCUCAUUAGACAAACUUAUGACUAAAGUCGUACCUAAAAACAACACAAUUAAUAAAUGAAAUCUGAAUGAUUAAGAUUCAUAUCUUCUUGCAAACAAAUGAGGCCUAUAUAAUCUAUUAGCAUAAACUUGAGGUCUUCAUUUCCUCAACAACUCAAAAGAGGGAACCCAAGACUACACUGCAGAAAUGGAAGAAAUAACCAACAAAGAUCAUGUUUUGGUUCUCCCAUUCCCUAUGCAAGGCCACAUAAACCCAAUGGUUCAAUUUUCAAAGAGAUUAGCAUCAAGAGGAGUUAAAGUGACCAUACUCAUCAUAGAGUCUAUUUGCAAGAACAUGCCAAAGGCAUCUGGUUCAAUCAAUAUUGAGUCCAUUCCACAUGAUGACUCUCCACCAGAAAACAUUGACAAAUCUUUUGAAUGGUUUCAUGUGUUGGUAUCCAAAACUUUGACAAAAAUUAUUGAGAAAUUAUCUUAUUCUGAGUACCCUGUGAAAGUUCUUGUUUAUGAUUCAAUCAGUACUUGGGCAAUUGACAUUGCACAUCAGCUAGGACUAAAAGGGGCUGCAUUUUUCACACAAUCUUGUUCUAUUAGUGCCAUAUAUUAUCAUAUGGAUCCAGAGAUAAGUAAAAUUCCUUUAGAUGGAUCUCUUGUGUCUUUGCCUUCACUUCCACUGUUAGAAAAGGAAGAGUUACCUUCUUUUAUCUGUGAAAUUGAUUUGUAUCCAGCUAUUAAAGAACUUGUCUUCAGUCAGAACAUCAAUUUCAAGAAAGCAGAUUGGCUUUUCUUCAACACAUUUGAUGUGCUGGAGAAGGAGGUAAACUCUCUCACCAAUAUACGUGGAGUGUUUUAAUUUUAUCAUUCAUUAUACUUUUGAGUCCAUUCAUGUUCUUGUCGUUAGCAGAUUGUUAUUUGUUGUUGACAUUAAUAUAACUCAAAUAUGAAGUACAUCGGCAGAUAAAUUAUACAGUCAAACAUAGAGGGAUACAUUUGAUAUCUUUUCGAAGUAUUUUGUCAUGCGAGUUCACAAAGUUUAUGCCAGAGCUUCGCCAAAGUCAGGGAAAAAUACGAGACAAUUUAUUAAUGGCAAGAUUUGAAUGACACCAAAAUAUAAAAUAUUUCUUCUAGUUUUUGAAUAAGUAUGGUAUUUAAAACACACUUAAACUUGGCCUCAACUGGUAAGUAUGCACUCAAACUUUUAGAAUGCACGUAUAGACAUCUCAAUUUGGUCUCAACUCAUUCCCAUUGUGUCUCCUGGACAUCCAAAAUGCUGACAUGGUACAAAAUUUUUUGGAGGUGUAUAGAUGAUCAUUGUGUAAGCUGGAGUGUUCAACUAACACAAUAGAGACGAGUUGAGGUGUCUACAUGUCUAUACUUAAGCAUGCUACUUACACACACACACACUCUUAUACAGUGCUAGACCAAUAAUUUGAAUUUUUUGUCGCUGAAUUUGUCCAGGUAGUUGACUGGAUGAGAACCAAGUACCCAAUCAAAACCAUUGGACCAACUAUUCCAUCAAUGUAUCUUGAUAAGAGACUAAAGGAAGACGAAGAAUAUGGUUUGAGUCUCUUCAAGCCUAAUGAUGAAGUUUGUAUGAAGUGGCUAGACUCAAGGGAAACAGCUGCUUCUGUUGUUUAUGUAUCAUUUGGAAGUUUAGCCACUCUUGGCGAAAUACAAAUGGAGGAACUAGCCUCGGGAUUGAUGACAAGCAAUUGCUACUUCUUAUGGGUUGUUAGAGCUACUGAAGAGAACAAACUCCCCAAGGAAUUCAUGUCCAAGUUAUCCGAAAAAGGACUAGUUGUGAAGUGGUGCCCUCAACUCGAUGUAUUGGCUCAUCGAGCUGUUGGAUGUUUCUUUACUCAUUGUGGAUGGAAUUCAACCCUGGAAGCGUUGAGCUUGGGAGUACCAAUGGUUGCCAUGCCACACUGGUCAGAUCAACCAACUAAUGCGAAAUUUAUUAGUGAUGUAUGGCAAACAGGAAUUCGCGUUAAGGCUGGAGAAAAUGGUGUAGUUACUAGAGAUGAAAUCGCGCAUUCCAUAAGGGAAGUCAUGGAGGAAAAGAAGGGAAUAAUGCUCAAAGAGAAUGCAACUAAAUGGAAAAUUUUGGCUAAGGAAGCUGUAGAUGAAGGAGGAAGUUCUGAUAAGAAUAUUGAAGAGUUUGUUUCAAGCAUAAUGUAGUGUGUCUUCUUCCAUGUUGAUUAUAUUUUAUAGUAUGAGAGUUCAUUAUUUCAAAGGUCGUAGUAUGAUAAGCUUAGGGUUUAGCCGUAGGUAUCUGUCAUUGUGUUUUGAUGAUCGCAUUAUAUUUGUGACUAAUUAUUAUUUUUCUGGUAGAUUUUGCAUUUAGUUGCCAUAUUUUUCUUUUCUUUGUAUUUGAAUUUGCUACACUUGAGCAUCUUUACCUCCUGGGGUAUUGGUAAAGUGGAAUAUACUUUACCCUCCUUAACCUCACUUUUAUAUGUUUUUGUUGUUGUUACUUCAAAAGUCAUUCAACCAUUGUCUACUAGUCUUUAUUUCUUCUUGUAACAGAAAGUGAAAAGACUUAUGUCACUCCAAAAGUCAAUGUACCACAUUUCAAAAAAUCUUGCCAACAAAUUUUGAGAGUUCAGAGUCUAAAUGGCAAGUUUUUUUAAUCAAAAUGAAAAAAUUUCCAAGCAAACAAGGUAAACACAGGUGUUUACUUUGUCCAUUAAAAAGUUAACGGUGUUAGUCCACGUGUUAAAGUGUAAGGUAAAAAUGGUGAUUUUACCUUAUAAGGUAAAUGGAGUCACUUACCUUAUCUAUUAUUUAUAUGACUGAAAAAGUUGGUAAUUUAAUGACAUCAAUGUACUCCCUCCGUAAUCCGUACAUCUUUAUUUAUCCACUUUUCUAUCUGGUAAUGUCCAACAAUACAUGUUUAGUUUAUAAAAUCAAUAGAUAAUUUAUUCAUUUUUACCUAUUUUAUCCUUAGUAUUAAAUACAAUACACCACUCAUUGUAUUUUUCAAAGUAAAAAAUUCAUUAUAUGCAAAGGUUGAUACAAUAAAAUCAACCAUCUAUUUAUUGUUUCUUAAGAUAUAUAUCAAGCCAAAAGUGAACAAAUAUUUAUGGACGGAGAAACUAUUUAGUGACGAGUUUAUUUCAAAUACACUGCAUUACAUGGUAAAACGUAUCCCUUACCUUACAAGGUAAAAUGUGUCCCUUACCUUACAAUGUAAAAUGUGUCUUUUACCUUAUUAACUUUCUUUGAUAUAUAUACCAUCCAUUCAUUUGAUUCAUUUAUUCACAUUACCCGCUUCACUCUAUUCAUCUAUAUUGUUUGAGUGUUUGUUUUUGUUCCAAGUCUAUUUCAUAAAAAAAAAAAAAUCACUUUAAGAUAUACUUUAAUCACCUUUUUAUAUAAUUUUUUUCAGUACCUCACAACCAUGUAUGUAGUAUAGUAUUAUUAAUCAUUUUUGUAGCUAACUAAUUUGUCAAAUGUUGUUAUCAUAUCAACUUGUUAAGUCUAAACCUACGUUAAGUCAGUAUUGUCAUGCAUGUGUAAAAAUGAAUAAAUCAUCUUAUUAAUUAUAAAGAAAAAAAAAUUACUUAAUUAAAUAAAAUGAGUUGUUUAUUAACUAUCAAUUGCCUCCCCCUAUGAAGGAUAUUGUGGACCACCUGAAUUAAAAACUUUCAAAUUCAUAAAUGUAUUGCUAGGUCCUCCCCUAUCAAAAUUAUUCACAAGUCUAGGUGAGGUUUGAUAAGAGAGAAGUAUGCACUACCCCCCUGAACUUAUCAAGUUUUAUUCAUGGUACACCUGAACUUUUACUAGUCUUAAGUACCCCCUCGAACUUAUUCUUUUAGUACGUCGCGUGGCUCCUUUUUGCUGAAAGUUUAUUGAGUGUGAUACACGCGCGGACACAUAAAAAAAAUGUUGAUAUGGCAGUCCACGUGGAUUAAUACCAUCCACUUCCCUUAUAUUUUGUCCUAUAUUAAAAAAUAAGUCCCCUCUACCUUUAGUUAUCCGAUUUCUCUCUAAAAAAAUAUAUUUUUCAGUUUUCCUCUACCAAAAUAUUGAAUUGUUGAAUUUUCGUCGAUCAAAUAAGCUAUUAUCUAAAAAUUUAUAUUUUUUGGUGUGUGUUAAAAAUAUGAAAUUAUUUUUUUCCGAUUAGUGUUUCAUAGUAGUUUCCGAUUAGUGUUUCAAUUAGAAUUUUGAGGACACUCACAUGCACAAAUACAUUUCUUAGUAUAAUUAAUAGAGUAAGAAAUUACAAUUUAAAUUAGGGACGUACAAAAAUCAAAUCGAUAAAAAUGUUAUUGAUUUAUCGUUAUAGGGUUAACGAUUUUUUAAUGAUUUUAUAAAAAAAAUUAUUGGGUUAUUGAUUUGAUUUUAAUUUUUUUUACUGGGUUAUUGGGUAAACCGAUAACCCAAUAAGUUUAUGCUAAAUUAUUAUUAUUAUUAUUAUUAUUAUUAUUAUUAUUAUAAUUAUUAUUAUUAUUAUUAUUAUUAUUAUUCUUAAAAAUUUCUUAAUAGACAAUAUCGGCUUUUCACUAUUCUUUUCAAAUUAUUAUUUAAUUUUAUUAGGUUAAUUAAUUUAAUUUAUUAGUCCUUUUAAAUGUAAGAUUUAUUAGAAAUAAAAUUAGUUUAAGUAUACAAUUCAUGUAGUAUUCUUCAAUUAAAGGUAAAUUAAUUUUCCUUACAUAUUUUAACAAGGAUGAAUGUGUGCUAUUGACGUGCCUUCAAUACCUUCGUUUGAGGUUUAAAAGACAAAAAAAUUGAUAUGUUCACUAAGUAUUAUAUUCUGAUAAUUUGCUUUCUUCUUAAUCUCUUAUUAUUUAGUGACUUUGGAUAGAUUAAAAAAUUAACAUGUUCACUAAUUAUUAUUUUCUCAUAAUCUGCUUUCUUUUUGAGCUCUUAUUGUUUAGUGACUUUGAAUUGCUCUAUUCUAAAUUUGCUUUUGCAUAAUAUCAUAAUCUAACAAAUCUUUUUAUUGAUGCUUAAAUAUCUCUUUAGUACAAAUUUUGGACGCAGGUAAAGAAUAUGAAGUCUGGAAAAGCUAAUUAACUUGCCGUACUCAAAGAAUUGCACAAGCUGAGUCAAUAUCCUAUAUGCAUGUACUUGGAGGCAAUAUCACUUUCUUCUUCUACCACAUGGUUCUUCACUCCACCCAAAUUGUGCUUGCUAUUGGCUUUUGUUUUCAUGCAUUAUGAGUUUUGUUACUUCAGCUUUGUUGGAUUAGUAUUUUUAGUACUCAAUUGUCUAUCUUCGAUACUCAAUUUUCUAUCUAUUGUGGAAGACUGUUAAUUACAAACAUAUUUGACCACUUUUUAACUCAAACACCACUACUACAAAAAAAAUUUAGCAACAAUAAAUAGAUAUUUUAUCAAAAAAAAAUUUAAGCUUUUACCGGCAUUAGUUAAUUAUUAUUGGAUCAAUAUCACUAAUAAUUAAUAAGUUAAGAAACAACUUAUGGGCAUUAUUUUGCUCCAAACCUAAUGUUGAUAGGUUUUAUACAUAUAUUUAUAUGAUUUAUUUUCUGAUUACAGAUAAACCCAUGAAUCCUAACCUAGGAAAAUUGAUAUUACUGUAUCAAUUUGCUGCUUAAAUUGUGGGGUCAUGACUUCCUCAAUUGAAGUUUGAUUUUAGUUCUAUAUAUUAUUAUUAUUAUUAUUAUUAUUAUUAUUAUUAUUAUUAUUAUUAUUAUUAUUAGAUGUAUGAAUCUAACUAUGUAAUUAUUCACUAUAUGUUUGACAAGCCUACAUAUGUUGACAAGCCUAUACUAUUGUGAUUCUGAUUUUGUAGAAUAUUGAUUUGAGUUAACUAAUUUGUAUUAACUAGGCUCUGAGACAAUGAUAUCAUAAGUUUAGUUUCUCAAAUGGAAGUUGUGCGAAAAAUUUAACGCAGAUCAAAUAUGAUCUUUCUCUUGUGCCUUUUUGUUGUAUGUUUCUUUCCUUUUCUUCUUAUUCCUUUGUCUAACAAUAAAAAGAGACUUGGACAUUGAGAUUUAAGACCAGUCUUUCGUGGAUUUAAAUAUGCAUAUAAUUUUUGCCUAAAAAAAAAUCAUAUCCCUUGACUCCUAACCCAUUUUUUUUUUCUUUUUGAAAUCUUUGACUUUUGGUAUGUCUAUGUUGUGCACUUAAAAACUCUUAUGAUUCUUCAUCAUCUACAUAUGCAAUUUUUUAUCCUAAAUAUUUACUAUGUAUGAAUUUUUAGCCUAUAUUUUUAGUUAGUGGACGUGGUUAUUGGAGAACUUAUAAAGUUCAUGUUUCAUCUAUUCUAAAUAUUAACAUGCAGAUAAUAUAAUCAUAGGGACAUAUUUGUUAUCCUCUUUUUGAGUUACAAUUAUAUUAUGAGAAUAUAAAUUUUCUAAAAUAGGAGAAUCAUAUUAACCUUGUGGUAAGAGUUUUUGUACUCUUCUUUUACAUCUAUUUGACUAUUAGUCGAUUCGGGGAGGGUCAAACUCAUAAAGUUUGAUAUAGACAGCCUAACCUAAAGCAUUAGUGGUUGCUUUUAUAAUUCAAACUUGUGACCUUUAGUUCACACGGUGAUAACUUUAUCAUUGUUUCAAGGCUCCCUUUUAUUGUGUUAAAUUGGAUCAACCAAAUGCUAAUUUGUUGUUGGUUAAAGUUCCAAAAGAAGCUCAACAUAAAAAAUAUAUAGAGUACUAAUAAUGAAUACUAAAAUAGUUUAUUUUCUUAUGUAUUUUAGCAUUAUAGUUAGUUAGGUUUUUUUGAUUGGAGUCUUUACUUUAUUAAUUUCUUUCGUAUUCUAGCAUUAGUUAGUUAGGUUUUGUUUUUUUUAAAAAAAAAUUAAGGUAUUUUACUUAUUUUAUUUUUUUCUUUCCUAUUUUAAUAUGGAUGUGAUUCGUUAUUUUAGCAACUAACUCUCAAUUGUGGUAUUUUAAUUUAUAAUGAAUUCUGUGAUACAAUCUAUAUAUGUCCCUUUUCACAAUUUUAUACAAUAAAUUGCCUAGGUUUUUUAAUAUUUAUUUUUGGUUUCUAAUGUAUGUAUUUUGAAUAUAAUUUGUAAUUUGAUUGAGUUGUAAAGAUUAUAGUUAAUCGAAUUGUUCUGAUAACACGAUCAUAUUAUUUCUGUUAUGUUACUAUCUGGUGUUUUUUUGUUUAAUAUAGAUAGUAGAUAGAAUAUUUGAUUGUACUUUGACGGAAUUUUUAUGUAAAGGAAAAAUUUAAUCGUUUGAAUCUUAAAAUUCAAAAAGUACCUCAUAAAGAGAGUAUAUUUUUUCUUUCCUUUUGGUUCAUAUACUAUAUGUAGAAUCAGAUUUUUAUGCCAAACAUUCAUUCAAAUUAGUCUAUUCUCAUUAUGUCUAUCGAUUUUGUUUUUUUACAAGAGUUCAAUGUAUAAUAUGCGUAUUAGAAUUUUAGAAAUCGGCACGGUAGUAUAAUUUAUUUGAAAAAUAUUACAGGUUAUUGGAUCACUAUACAAUAAUAAUGACAAAGAAAAAUUAAUUAUAUGUUAGCGCAUAUUCUUAAUGAAUUCAACAAAUUAAUGCAAUGGUUUGAUAGAUAACUUGUAGAUCAUAGAGGAGGAAUGUUAGGAGUAGUCUUCUAUAUUUGUGUCUAUGGUAGGUUUGGCUAACACUAUACCUUGAUAUAUCGUUCAUGAAUUCAACAAUUUGACAUUUCCUAUCUGAAUUGAGUUAUAGCGCUAUAUGAACUUGAUCAAGUUUUAGUUUCGCACCUUUCUUUUUUACUUGUGCAAAUUUUUGUGCACUCAAAACUAAUUCCAUCCAUGUUUGUUUAAGAAUUUUUGUUGUUGUAAUUUUUUUCUAUCAUUAUUCUGAAAGUAUAGUUAUAUAUACACAACAAUCAAAAUAGCUAAUUUUUUUAUGAGUAUUUUCUUAUUGGUUAAAUUGAAAAUCAAAUCGUUAGGGACUAAAAAUCGAUAAUCAAUACAACUGCAUUCUCUUUAUUAUAAGUAUGUGUAUUAGUUUUUUUAGUAUUUGUUUUGUUAUUAUCUUUUAAAAUAUUUGUUUCGAUAUUUAGUACAUUUCUUUAGUUACAAUAACUCAUAUGAUAUAUAGAAUUAAGAUUACAAAAUUGAAGUAGUUUCAUAAAAAUAAAAACUGGAGUUUUAGAUUGAAUUAAUAAAUGGAUGAAUUUUUUUUUAGAUUAAUAAAUAAAAUUUUUACAAAAUUAAUUAACGGAUGAAAGUUUUAUUUCAUAAACUAAUUAAGAGAUAAAUAUGAGUUUUACAAAAUUAAUAAAUUGAUGAUUUUCUUUUUAGAUUGAAAGUAAUGGAGGAAGAGGAAUAAUAAAUAGUGAGAGGGAUGGUUGAAUUUUUUGAAAAAACUAAAGAAAAACAAUUUUUUUUUCAUUUUUCUAACCAUUAAAAAGGUUGAUUUGGCUUAAAAAUCACUCCAUCACGCGCGUGAUGGAGUGUGAAGCCCAAAUAUUUCACCACAUCAGCAAAAAGGGCCACGCGACGUACUAAAAGAACAAGUUCGGGAGGGGGGUGCUUAAGACAAGUCAAAGUUCAGGUAUACCAUGAAUAAAACUCGACAAGUUCAGGGGUAAUAGAUACUUCUCUCUUAAAACUCAUGUUUCUUCUUUCGUAACUACAGGUGAAUGGAAGACAAUCAAACUAUUCCAACACUUAUAGUUCAAAUUGUACAACAAAACUCACUAGCUGUGGGUUCUUGAACAAUAGGAAAAUGUUCCACAUACGCAUACAUGUCAAGCGUCUGUAGAUUAAGGCGAUUACCAAAAAUUUCAACGGUGCGAAGAAAUAAAAAUAAAAAAACAUCAUUCCAAAUUGGAGUUUCAUCAAAUAUUGGUUGUCCAUUGGACGUAAAUAAUUCGGAUAUCGUCCAGAAAUAACCACAUCAUCUUUCAGAUUGGUAAUAACCAUUUAAUUAUUCUUAAACAACCUUUUCAAACCAUUAUAUUUGAGAGAUAAAGGAAAUGACUGAACAAUAAUAGGACGCCGAUUAUAUUGAAACUUUACCACCCCAAUGUAAAUUUACUCUUACCUUAUUCAUUUAAAAGUAAGAAAUGAAUAAAUUAAUUUCAACAAAUAUUUUGAGUUAUGAAGUUUAACAACUUUUUUUUUUUUUGAGUUGAUGCAAGAAAUAAACCUACACUCACACUCUUUAUAUAGCAUCGAGAAUUUUGAAGUUGUUACAAGGUAAACAAGGGAUCCUACCUUACAAGGUAAACAUGAGAUCCUACCUUACAAGGUUAACGAUUCCAUUUACCUUGUAAUACCUUGCACUUUUCGGAAUCUAUCAAAUAGAUAAUAGAUAAGUGACUUUAUUUACCUUAUAAGGUAAAAUCACCAUUUAACUCACACUUUAAUAUGUGGAUUAACACUGUUAACUUUUUAAUGGACAAGGUAAACACUGUUAACAUCUGUGUUUACCUUGUCCGUUUUAAAAAAUUUUCAUUUUGAUGUGCAUUUUUGAAAUUUUGACUAAAAAAACGUGUCCUUUAGGCUCUGGAUUCCAAAUAUUGAUAUGGCAUUUUAUUUGAAUUCAGAGACUUUUUAUUUUUAUUUUUCCUCUGAAGCAUAGGUUAUUUUAUAAAAGAGAUAAGCAUUAAGUACCUCCUCGAUCUAUGGUCAAAAUUGCUAUGAUACACUCCAACUUCGCAGGGCUAUUACUUUCGAACUCAAUUUUAGCGUAUUUUUGUCAUCUUUUGUGCUAAUAUGGCAUGCCAUGUCAGUUAAAAGGAGUGAGAAAAAAUAUCAUGUCAGCUAAAAAAAAUGCCAAAAAUACACUAAAAUUUAGUUCAGGUAUAAGACAACCUCAUAAAGUUAGAGUGUAUCUAGCAAAUUUGCUUGUAAUUCAGGGAUACUAGAUGUUUUACUCUUUAUAAAACUUUGUUAAGACAAGAAUAAUUCAUGAUAUAUUAUGAAACGAUAUGUAACAACCAUCCGAAAAAGUGUAAUUCACCAACCACAACACCAGAAGAAUCAUUCCAAGAUACCUUUAUGUGAGUGCAAAACAAAAUGAAAAAAACGUUGAAACACAAAAUACAAAACAGUCCUUUUUUGUGUUCAUAUCACUAUUUUCUUCCUUCUUUCUUUCUUCUUUUUAGACCACACAACCAUAUGGUGCAACUUGUGGUGGCUUUUCUUUAACUUGAUAAAAUUUUGGAGUAUUUGCCUAUAAAAACGAAAGAUCCCUCCGUAAUCAUUCAUCCAUAAUAUCAAGUAAAUCAUUUUCGUGUAUCUCUAGGCUAUAGUCAUAGUAAUCCUCCUAUUCAACUACUCCGACCAAGGGUGUGUAAAAAUCGAACCGAUCGAUAAAUCGAAUCGAUAAAAAUGUUAUUGGGUUAUUGGAUUAACGAUUUUAUAAAUAUAUAUAUAUAUAUAUAUAUUAUAUGCACUACUUGUUCAUAAUUCAGUAAUUCACAAAGUAUUAACCUAUUCAGGACAACAAAGACACAAUAUAAAGCUCGGCUAUUAUCGUAUUGAAAAACUUGAAGCAUUUAUAGCUUCCAACAAUUAGGAUUUAAUUUUUUUUCUAACUAACAUUCAGUUCAAGUUUGAAGAUUCUUGUAAAUUAAAAUGCAUUGCAUAAGAUUUUUGCGGUAACUAAAAUUUUGUUUUUUUAAGUAAGUUAUUACUAUUUCUAUUUAUAAGUAUUUUCUUAUUGGUUAAACCGAAAACCGAACCGUUAAGGACCAAAAAUCAAUAAAUCGAAACCGAUAAGAAAAUAUCUUAUUGUUUGGUAUUGGUUUUACAUAUUUAAAAAUCGAAAAUCGAUAAACCGAACUAAUAACACAUAAAACCGAACCGAUCGAUGCACACCCCUAACUCCGACUCAUAUUUUUUUGAAUAAUUGGUUAGGAUUUUUGAAUUAUAGAUUAAACUUUUGAUUUUAUUUUUAAAAAUCUCUGAAUUUCGAUUGAAUAUCAGAUUUAGCACUAUUGCAUUUUUGGAUAUCUAAAAUAUUCAAAAUUUUAUGUUUUAUAUUGGGUUUUAUCAUAUCAUAUGUGCCAAAUGAUAAAAAAAAAAAAAAAAAAAAAAAAAGUCGAAUUUCCGAAGUUACCCAUAAUAGUAGUAUGUCGCAUAUGGAAUUACAUGACAUGGGCGGUAGGGUUGCCUGAAUCCUUGUUAACUCUAGAAAAUUAUACAUAUUAACUAUUAAGUAAAUUGUAAAGAAUGAAUUUGGGCUAACUCAACCUCAAAAGCUAGCUUAUGAGGGAAGGAUUGUCCGACACCAAUUAUCCAUUCUUUUUCGAUGUGGGAUACUUAACACUCCCCGCACGUCUAGGCAUUAACUGAAACGUGGAUAAUAUAAUAUAACUGAAGCGUGGAUAAUAUAAUAUGGGGGCCCAACAUCGGUGAAUAAAGAUUUUCGAUGUGGGAUACUUAACACUCCCCCGCACGUCCAGGCAUUAAGUGGAGCAUAGACAAUAUAAUAUGGGGGCGUAGGAUACUUAACACUCCUCACAAGUCCAGACGUUAACUGGAGCGUGGAUAAUAUAAUAUGUGGGAUACUCAACACUCCCCGCACAUCCAGGCGUUAAUCGGAGCUUGGACAAUAUAAUAUGGGGGCCCAAAAUCGGUGAACAAAGAUUUCCGAUGUGGGAUACUUAACAUUCCCCUGCACGUCCGGGCAUUAAUUGGAGCGUGGAAAAUAUAAUAUGGGGGUCCAAUAUCGGUGAACAAAGAUUUCCGAUGUGGGAUACUUAAAGAAUGAAUCUUGGGCCUAACUUAAUCUCAAAAACUAGCUCAUGAAAAGGAUUGCGCAAAUCCAUGUAAGGAGUCUAAUUACCCAUUUCUUUUUUGAUGCGGGAUACUUAACAUAUAUUGAGGUUGUAGUUAUUAUGACUAGCCUUUAAGGCUCAAAAUUCAAUUGAAAAUCUGAAAUAUCUAAAUCGAUUAAUCCAAAAUCGAAUUUAAAAGUUGAGUCCAAUCUGAACUUAUUCGGAUUGGAUUUUUCAUCAAUCCGAAAAUAAAAAAUUUAAAUCGAAAAUAGUCUCUCUACAUCAGGCUGGAGUAAGAUCAACGUACACUUUACCUAAACUCCACUUGAUGAGACUAUACUAGGUAUACUGUUGUUGUAUAAAGCGCAAACAAAUGAGUACAUAAAUAACAUGCUCUUUAACUUGGUCUUAGCUUGCAUCUAUGCCUUCCAACUUUGAUGUAUACAAGUAGGCACUUAAACUUAUACAAAGUUAAAUAAAUAGACACACGUCCAACGUGACAUAUACAUAACAGUCUCACGUGAUUGUCACAUAGGAUGCGUGUCUAAUUAUUGAAAUUUUUAUAAAUUUAAGUGUCUACUUGUGCACGUCCAACGUCGGAAGAAAUAAAUGACAGCUGACGCCAAUCUAAAAGGGCACAUUUUCAUAUGGAGAAACUAUUCAGUAUAGGGAAGCUCAGAGUAUAGUGUAGUAGAAAAUGGAAGAAAUAACGAACAAGACUCAUGUUUUAGUUCUCCCAUUCCCGGUACAAGGCCACAUAAACCCAAUGAUUCAAUUCUCCAAAAGAUUGGUAGCAAGAGGAGUUAAAGUGACCUUACUCACCAUAUACUCUAUUGGCAAGAAUUUGCCAAAGGAGUCUAGUUCAAUCAAUAUUGUGUCCUUUCCAUAUGAUGAGUCUGCACCAGAUAAUACUGAUAAAUCUCUUGAAUGGUUCUCUACUUUGGUGUCCAAAAACUUGGGAGCAAUUGUUGCGAAGUUAUCUGAUACUGAGUAUCCUGUGAAAGUUCUUGUUUUCGAUUCUUUCGCCUCUUGGGCAAUUGACCUUGCACAUCAGCUAGGACUCAAAGGGGCUGCAUUUUUCACACAAUCUUGUUCUCUUAGUGCGAUAUACUAUCAUAUGGAUCCUGAAACAAGUGAAAUUCCUUUAGAUGGAUCUGUUGUAUCAUUGCCUUCACUUCCACUGCUAGAAAAGGAAGAUCUGCCUACUUUCAUCUACGAGACUGAUUCGUAUCCAGCUCUUAGAGCACUUGUUUUCAGUCAGAACAACAAUUUCAAGAAAGCAGAUUGGCUUUUCUUCAACACAUUUGAUGCAUUGGAGAAGGAGGUAUUGUAUCUCAUAGAUAUUUUACUAUACACUGAAUAUUGUAAUUUUGUUAUUCGUCAUACUUAUCGCUAGUGAAGAGGGAGCUAGCCUUGGAGUAACUGGCAAAGUUAUUGCCAUGUGGUUAGGAGGUCACGCGUCAAGGCGUGGAAACGGUCUCUUGCAAAAAUGUGGGGUAAGGCUGUGUACAAUAAACUCUUGUGGUUCGGCCUUUUCCCGGACCCGGCGUAACAAGAGUUUUAGUGCACAGGUUGUGUAAGGGUGAAAUUAGACAGUCUUUUUUUGAAUAAGUACAUUAUUAUUACUCCUUACUUAUCUCCACUACAACAGCAACUGAUCAUCCCAAAGUGCUAGAGUAACAUACUCACUUUCAAUUUAUUUCAUUGGGUGAAUUUAACAAAGUAAAAAAAGAACUUUUAACAUAUGCAAAAAGUAUUGUAACUUGUAAUCUUAAUUAUGUUAUACCACAAGUGUCUAGUUCUUUCUACAAUAGACUAGAUAGGAUAGAGAAAUGAAACAAAAAGGAUAUUACUUGGGUGUAUAAUAUACAUAUAGACACUUAAACCUAGCCUCUACUGGCAUGUGAGCAAUCCAACUUAUAAGAGAGCACAUAUAGACACCUCCACUUGCAACUAAACACUCAAACUUGUCCCGAUUGUGUGUCGUGGACAUCCAAUGCUGACAUGGUACAAAAUUUUUGGAGGUGUCGAAAUGAUCAUUUUGUAAGUUGGAGUGUUCAAAUGACACAAUGGAGAAAAGCUGAGGUGUCUAGAUGUGCAUACUGAAAGUUUGAGUAUUUACUUGCCAGUUGAGGCCAAGUUUUAGCGUUUAUUUAUCUAUUAUGCCUUACUUAAGCAUGCUCAAUAUAUACACACACACCCUUAUCUAGACCAAUAGUUUGAACUUUUUGUUGCUGAAUUUGUCCAGGUAGUUGACUGGAUAAAAAGUAAGUGCUCAAUCAAAACCAUUGGACCAACUAUUCCAUCAAUGUAUCUUGAUAAGAGACUUAAAGAAGACAGAGAAUAUGGUUUGAGUCUCUUCAAGCCUAAUGAUGAAAUUUGUAUGAAUUGGCUAAAUUCAAGGGAAAUUGGGUCUGUUGUUUAUGUAUCAUUUGGAAGUUUAGCCAGUCUUGGAGAACAACAAAUGGAGGAACUAGCUACUGGCUUGAUGACGAGCAAUUGCUACUUCUUGUGGGUUGUUAGAGCUACCGAAGAGAACAAACUCCCCGAAGAAUUCAUGUCUAAGGCAAAAGAGAAAGGACUAGUUGUGAAUUGGUGCCCUCAACUCGAUGUGUUGGCUCAUCGAGCUGUUGGAUGUUUCUUUACUCAUUGUGGAUGGAAUUCAACCCUGGAAGCGUUGAGCUUGGGAGUGCCAAUGGUUGCCAUGCCCCAUUGGUCCGAUCAACCUCCUAACGCGAAAUUUAUUAGUGAUGUAUGGCAAACAGGAAUUCGCGUUAAGGCUGGAGAAAAUGGUGUUGUUUCUAGAGAUGAAAUCGCGCGUUCCAUAAGGGAAGUCAUGGAGGAAGACAAAGGUGUAAUGCUCAAAGAGAAUGCAA